CCUACGGGGGGCUGCAGUGGGGAAUAUUGGACAAUGGGGGCAACCCUGAUCCAGCCAUGCCGCGUGUGUGAAGAAGGCCCUCGGGUUGUAAAGCACUUUCAGUGAGGAAGAACGCCUGGUGGUUAAUACCCAUCAGGAAAGACAUCACUCACAGAAGAAGCACCGGCUAACUCCGUGCCAGCAGCCGCGGUAAUACGGAGGGUGCGAGCGUUAAUCGGAAUUACUGGGCGUAAAGCGCGCGUAGGUGGCUUGAUAAGCCGGUUGUGAAAGCCCCGGGCUCAACCUGGGAACGGCAUCCGGAACUGUCAAGCUAGAGUGCAGGAGAGGAAGGUAGAAUUCCCGGUGUAGCGGUGAAAUGCGUAGAGAUCGGGAGGAAUACCAGUGGCGAAGGCGGCCUUCUGGACUGACACUGCCACUGAGGUGCGAAAGCGUGGGUAGCAAACAGGAUUAGAUACCCGAGUAGUC
rnacentral:rRNA from 1 species